GCGGGUAUGGCGGAACUGGUAGACGCGCCAGAUUUAGGUUCUGGUGCCGAGAGGCGUGGGGGUUCGACUCCCUCUACCCGCACCA
rnacentral:tRNA from 1 species